UACGGAGGGUGCAAGCGUUGUUCGGAUUUAUUGGGCGUAAAGCGCGUGUAGGCGGUUUCUUAAGUCUGAUGUGAAAGCCCUGGGCUCAACCCAGGAAGUGCAUUGGAUACUGGGAGACUUGAAUACGGGGAGAGGUAGUGGAAUUCCUAGUGUAGGAGUGAAAUCCGUAGAUAUUAGGAGGAGCACCGGUGGCGAAGGCGGCUACCUGGACCGAUAUUGACGCUGAGACGCGAAAGCGUGGGGAGCAACAGG
rnacentral:rRNA from 1 species